rnacentral:rRNA from 1 species
CUUGUCUAAUCCCGGGAAACUGGGGCCGAGGACAGGAUAGGUAAGGGAUGCUGGAAUGCACUCUUACUGAACUAAUGAUGAGACUGCGGCCUAUCAGGUUGUUGCCAGGCUAAAGUCCUGACAAGCCUUUGACGGGUACGGGCCUUGAGAGAGGAAGCCCGGAGAUGGAUUCUGAGACAAAAAUCCAGGUCCUACGGGGCGCAGCAGCUGCGAAACUUUCGCAAUGGGCGAAAGCCUGACGAAGGGAUUUAGAGUGCUUUCUUCACAUGAAGGGAGCUUUUGCCAAGUCUAAAUAGCUUGGUGAAUAAGUGGUGGGUAAUACGGGUGCCAGCCGCCGCGGUAAUACCCGAGCCACGAGUGGUGACCACGAUUAUUGGGCUUAGAGCGUUCGUAGCCGGUCUAGAAAGUUUCUGAUGAAAUCCUGCAGUCAACUGCAGGGCUUGUCAGGGAUACUACUAGACUUGAGACCGGGAGAGGCUGAGGGUAUUCCUGGGGUAGGUGUAAAAUCCUGUAAUCCCAGGAGGACCACCUGUGGCGAAGGCGCUCAGCUAGAACGGAUCUGACGGUGAGGGACGAAAGCUAGGGGAGCGAAGCGGAUUAGAUACCCGCGUAGUCCUAGCCGUAAACGAUGCCCACUAGACAUUGGCAACCUCAAGUGGGUUGCCAGAGUCGUAGGGAAACCGUUAAGUGGGCCGCCUGGGGAGUACGGUCGCAAGGC